GACAAUUAAACCCAAUUUCGUGGUUUAUUUAAGUGUAAUAAACUAAAUAUAGUUCAAGAAAUAAUGACUCAUCAAAAUAGACCACACUUAGUCUUUUGCAUUCCUGGGCAAAACCAAGACGAAAACCAGGGAACUACUCAAACAUCAGGAAGGUGACAGACUCAACAUACAGACAACUAAGACUCAUAAGGACAGGAACAAAAUUGCAUAAUUCUCA
rnacentral:lncRNA from 1 species